rnacentral:rRNA from 1 species
UACGAAGGGGGCUAGCGUUGCUCGGAAUCACUGGGCGUAAAGCGCACGUAGGCGGCUUCUUAAGUCGGUGGUGAAACUCCUGGAGCUCGAACUCCAGAACUGCCUCCGAUACUGAGGAGCUUGAGUCCGGGAGAGGUGAGUGGAACUGCGAGUGUAGAGGUGAAAGUUCGUAGAUAUUCGCAAGAACACCAGUGGCGAAGGCGGCUCACUGGCCCGGUACUGACGCUGAGGCACGAAAGCGUGGGGAGCGAACAGG